rnacentral:rRNA from 1 species
UACGGAGGGUGCAAGCGUUAAUCGGAAUUACUGGGCGUAAAGGGUGCGUAGGUGGUUUGGUAAGUUAUCUGUGAAAUCCCCGGGCUCAACCUGGGCAGGUCAGAUAAUACUGCUGAACUCGAGUAUGGGAGAGGGUAGUGGAAUUUCCGGUGUAGCGGUGAAAUGCGUAGAGAUCGGAAGGAACACCAGUGGCGAAGGCGGCUACCUGGCCUAAUGCUGACACUGAGGCACGAAAGCGUGGGGAGCAAACAGG